rnacentral:misc_RNA from 1 species
CUUCUACAUGAGCUGCAACAACGGUCUCAACAUCCUCAAAGGCACUUUGUUCCAUCUGUUGAACAGCUUGCUCAAGCAAAAUUUGGUCAGGCAUUACAGCAAGAUCAACAGAGAGAUUUAUUUGAGCUAUUAUCUCAUGCCCAGCAUGGUCAAAUUCAAUCUUUAGAGCAUCAAAUUCUUCAAGAACAGCUGCAGGCAAGGCAGUUGCCUAUGGGAUUGAGACAGCGUAUGAAUAUGGAAGAAGAGAGGCAUAUUGAAUCUCUCUGGCCACCGGUUAAUGAAAGUGAUCAGUUCUUCAGGAGUCUUACCGGCAAUCACAGAGCUCACUCUUCAGGAAUUAGCCCUUUAGAUUUUUAUCAGCAGCAGCAGCAGCAGCAGCAGAGGCCACCACAUGAGGACCAGUUGAGCCAACUCGAGCGAAAUCUUUCAUUUCAAGACCGACUUCGGCAAGGGCUUUAUGAGCCGGGCUCAUUGCUGUUUGAGAGGUCCCUGUCCUUGCCUGCUGGUGCUUCAGGAAUGAAUAUGGAUGUUGUAAAUGCUAUGGCUUGUGCUCAUGGUUUAGAUAUGCAGGAGUUGAGCACACGAAUGCAAUCUGCUGGCCAAGUGGGAACGUUGUCUUCUGGAAAUCACCCACAUGAUCGUCAUCACCCUAUGGUUCCUAACCAAUUCCAUGUUUCACAUCUAGAUGCGAUUGAAGGCCGCUGGCCUGAAAGCAAUGGGCCAAUAGUAAACGACUGGAUGGAAUCCCGAAUUCAACAAUUGCACAUCAAUGCUGAACGGCGUAAAAGGGAGUCUGACAUUAAAGUGACUGCUGAAGAUUCAAGUUUAUGGAUGUCAGAUGGAUUGAAUGAUGACAAAUCAAGGCGAUUGUUCAUGGAAUUGCUACAUCAGAAAUCAGGUCAUCAACCUUCAGAUUCGGUACAGAUGAAUGAUGGAAUGUCUUUUGAGAAGAAGUCAGCAUCAGGCAUUUACUCUGGAUCAAGCUCUUCUGAUCACCUUUUUGCUGUUGUUUCAGACCAAGAAGCCAGUCUAAACAACUCACUUGCAAUAGGGUCUUAUGGUUCUA